UAGGGAAUCUUCGGCAAUGGACGGAAGUCUGACCGAGCAACGCCGCGUGAGUGAAGAAGGUGUUCGGAUCGUAAAGCUCUGUUGUGAGAGAAGAACGUUGGUAGGAGUGGAAAAUCUACUAAGCGACGGUAACUAACCAGAAAGGGACGGCUAACUACGUGCCAGCAGCCGCGGUAAUACGUAGGUCCCGAGCGUUGUCCGGAUUUAUUGGGCGUAAAGCGAGCGCAGGCGGUUCUUUAAGUCUGAUGUUAAAGGCAGUGGCUUUACCAUUGUACGCUUUGGAAACUGGUGGACUUGAGUGCAGAAUGUGAGGGUGCGUUUCCAUGUGUAGCGGUGACAUACGUAGAUAUAUGGAGGAACACCAGUGGCGAAAGCGGCUCUCUGGUCUGUAACUGUCUCUAAGGCUCAAAAACGUGGGGAGCGACCAGG
rnacentral:rRNA from 1 species